GAGGGAGCCGGGCCCCGCGCCGACCGCCGGGGGCCGGCGAGCUCCGUCUGGUUUCCGCGCCGCCGCCCCCGCGGGAGGAAUAACCGACCACGGUUCUCCCCCCGGGGCGCCCGAGGGGCCCGGCCGCCCC